rnacentral:tRNA from 1 species
GCCGGGGUGGCGGAACUGGCAGACGCAAGGGACUUAAAAUCCCUUGGGGCGAAAGCCUCGUACGGGUUCGAUUCCCGUCCCCGGCAC